rnacentral:lncRNA from 1 species
UAGCAUGGUCGUGUUAGUAUAGAUUGUAAUAAUGGAUGUGAGAAAAUAACUUGAAGAAUUAAAAUUAAAAUCAAAUGAAUGGUUGUGUCUCUUUGGUGAAUUAAUUAUUCUUGUGAAAAGAUCUGUCUUUUCAUUUGAUGCAAAGAGAUGUAUCUCUUUAUAAAGAGAUGCAUUUCUUCACAAAGAGAGUAACCCUUUGUGAAAGAAUAUGUCUUUUCAUUUGCGA